AGGCCAGAUGCAAAAACUGAAACAAUAACAAUAAAAAACUUCCCAUAUAAAUCACACACAGCAGAAUACUUCUUUAUUGUCCUGGAUACCAAAAACAGCAGCCGACACAGUUGAAUCAGACAGGGAUAGGAUAAGAGACUUGAAAGAGAAGCAGAGAAGAAAGUCUUCAAGUCUUCAACUUUUCUUUUCUUUCCCUUUAUCUCAAUUACUUUGGAACAGUGUGAGAGAGAAAGAGAGAGAGCAGAGUUGGCCAAAGCAGCCCCCUUUAACACUUC
rnacentral:misc_RNA from 1 species